rnacentral:tRNA from 1 species
UCCCUGGUGGCUCAGACGGUAAAGCAUCUGCCUACAAUGCGGGAGACCCAGGUUCGAUCCCUGGGUAGGGUC